GCUAGAGUGGUGUAAUGGUUUGAGUGCUGGACUGUGACUCUGGAGACCAGGGUUUGAUUCCCAGCUUGGCCA